AACGAACGCUGGCGGCAGGCCUAACACAUGCAAGUCGAGCGAGGACUUCGGUUCUAGCGGCGGACGGGUGAGUAACGCGUGGGAAUGUGCCCUUCUCUACGGAAUAGCCCUGGGAAACUGGGAGUAAUACCGUAUACGCCCUUUUGGGGAAAGAUUUAUCGGAGAAGGAUCAGCCCGCGUUGGAUUAGGUAGUUGGUGGGGUAAUGGCCUACCAAGCCGACGAUCCAUAGCUGGUUUGAGAGGAUGAUCAGCCACACUGGGACUGAGACACGGCCCAGACUCCUACGGGAGGCAGCAGUGGGGAAUCUUAGACAAUGGGGGCAACCCUGAUCUAGCCAUGCCGCGUGAGUGAUGAAGGCCUUAGGGUUGUAAAGCUCUUUUAGCUGGGAAGAUAAUGACGGUACCAGCAGAAGAAGCCCCGGCUAACUCCGUG
rnacentral:rRNA from 1 species